AUUCACAUCACUUAGGGAGCUUGUUGAAAUGUAGAUUCCAAUUUAGGUGCAGGCUGGGACCUGGGACUCUGCAUUUCUAACAAGACCCCAAGUGAUGCUGGU
rnacentral:pre_miRNA from 1 species